rnacentral:lncRNA from 1 species
GCCACAGGGAAAGGCGGCACCGCGGGAGCUGCGGGCGGUACCCGCCUGCCGGGCCCCGGAACAGCUGCGACACCGCGGGCUGCAGUUCCGCCCCUGUCCACCCCCGCGUCCGCCGGAGCGCGGCCAGCAGCACAGAACGCGGGGGUCGCUCUCUUCGGCCGCCCUGCUCCUGCCGUGCCAGCGGCAGCUGCGCCAGGAGCGGGGAAAAUCCCCUUGGCUCGGGCAGCGAGGCCGGGAGCGAGCGGAUGGUGCUGCAGGGCAGCGUCUGACCCCAGGUCUCAGGGACUGCAUGGAGAUUCCUCUGGAGCAGGGUCACUCUGUGAGGAUGAGCCACAGAGGUUCAGUUCUUGGAGCAGGACAGGAAAAAUCGUUAAACUCCUCCCAUCUUUGCCAGAAGCUUCGGUGUUUAAGCAGCCAAAGCCAAGAGUCUUCAGCACCAGGGCUCUGUGUUACUAUUGGACAUGAAAUGAGUACACAGAAGCUUGGCCAGCAGGAACAAGGGGGAAUGUGGUGCCAGAGCUGUGUUCUGUCGGGCUGCGCUUCCCUCUGAGGACAGAGUCUGGGCUGAGAGAAAGACUCUCCUCGUAAUUCGCCGUGGGGUCGCUGGCUGCUCUCUGGAACUCCAAUAGCGCUUCCCAAAGCCCGCGAGGGUCCAGCGGGAAGCGCUAGAAACCUGCCCGCACCUCUCCCCUGAAGAGCUAGCCGGGGCUGAGGAAGGGCAUCGGGGAGAGAAGCGUCGGCAGUUGGUUGUUAUAAAUUAAAAUUUGUCCAGCCAAAUUAAUAUAAAAAAUAAAAUAUUUAUUUUGCAAUCAAAUUCUAUCUAGCCAGCCACAAGGAAAGAACAGAGCCGAGCCCGGGGUCGGCCCUGGGUGUGCAACAAGGAGUCAGCCUCAGCAGAGGUUUUCCUCCAUGCCCACACACUUCUGUCCUGGCACAAGCGGUUUUUAUAGGGAAAAUUCCGCCUGAGGCCAAGAUUUCAGCAAUCAGUCUUUUCUUCUAUUCAGAGUCUAUAUGUUAAUAAGAUUUUCCUUUUUGGUGAAGAGGGAGAGCAAAUCACUUUCCAGAGUUUGUUGAAUCCUUGAGAACGUGUAAACUCUCAGUUUACCCCACACAACCGCGCCCCUACACUACAAACCCUUCACCAUCGUACCCACACAGUUUCUCUCUCACUCACUCAGGGCAUACUCUUAAUUACAGCCACAAAAACAGAAGUUAUUUUAUUCUUUUUCUGCUUAAUAUCCGUGUCUUGUAUUUGUACAUCAAUCCCAGCUUCUCCCAAGGAGGCAGAUCAAAUCUUUCAGUGACUGUGGGAGUUUCUGGUUUUCCGAUUCCCACUUCUCCCCUCUUUCUGUAUUAAAACCAAUUUUUAUUAAUGGAUUUGUUAAGCAUUUGUUACAUAUAUUAAGAUAAAUAAGGUGUUAUCAUUAGUAGUAGUAUUAUUAUAAUAAUUAAAAUGUAUAAUUCUGUCAUAAGAUUUUUAAUUAUGUUGUUACAUUUUAUUUAUUAAAUAAAUUGUCAA